rnacentral:rRNA from 1 species
CGGCAGACGGGUGCGUAACAUGUGGGAAUCUGCCUUUUGGUUCGGAACAACACGAGGAAACUUGUGCUAAUACCGGAUAAGUCUUUACGGAGAAAGCUUUAUGCACCAUUGGAUGAGCCCGCACUUGAUUAGUUAGUUGGUGAGGUAAAAGCUCACCAAGGCGAUAAUCAAUAGCUGAUUUGAGAGGAUGAUCAGCCACACUGGGACUGAGAUACGGCCCAGACUCC